rnacentral:rRNA from 1 species
CAGCCGCCGCGGGAAUACAGAGGAUGCAAGCGUUAAUCGGAAUUACUGGGCGUAAAGCGUGCGCAGGCGGUUGUGUAAGUCUGAUGUGAAAGCCCCGGGCUCAACCUGGGAACUGCAUUGGAGACUGCACGGCUAGAGUGCGUCAGAGGGGGGUAGAAUUCCGCGUGUAGCAGUGAAAUGCGUAGAGAUGCGGAGGAAUACCGAUGGCGAAGGCAGCCCCCUGGGAUGACACUGACGCUCAUGCACGAAAGCGUGGGGAGCAAACAGGAUUAGAUACCCCCGUAGUCCCUGUCUCUUAUAU